GGAGGCGCCAGUAGGGCCUCUUCCGCAAUGGGCUCAAGCCUGUCCGGCGCAACGCCGCGUGUCGCUCGGCCGGCCUUCGGGUCGUCUCGCUCUGUUGUGCGGGCCUCCCUCGUGCAGGCGUUCACUGUCUGCACGCUGACGGUACCUCACGCGGAAAGCCCCGGCUCACUCCGUGCCAGCAGCCGCGGUAAU
rnacentral:rRNA from 1 species